rnacentral:rRNA from 1 species
UGGCGGGUGCUAUACUGCAGUCGAGCGAGCGGAACUAACAGAUUUACUUCGGUAAUGACGUUAGGAAAGCGAGCGGCGGAUGGGUGAGUAACACGUGGGGAACCUGCCCCAUAGUCUGGGAUACCACUUGGAAACAGGUGCUAAUACCGGAUAAGAAAGCAGAUCGCAUGAUCAGCUUUUAAAAGGCGGCGUAAGCUGUCGCUAUGGGAUGGCCCCGCGGUGCAUUAGCUAGUUGGUAAGGUAAAGGCUUACCAAGGCGAUGAUGCAUAGCCGAGUUGAGAGACUGAUCGGCCACAUUGGGACUGAGACACGGCCCAAACUCCUACGGGAGGCAGCAGUAGGGAAUCUUCCACAAUGGACGCAAGUCUGAUGGAGCAACGCCGCGUGAGUGAAGAAGGUUUUCGGAUCGUAAAGCUCUGUUGUUGGUGAAGAAGGAUAGAGGUAGUAACUGGCCUUUAUUUGACGGUAAUCAACCAGAAAGUCACGGCUAACUACGUGCCAGCAGCCGCGGUAAUACGUAGGUGGCAAGCGUUGUCCGGAUUUAUUGGGCGUAAAGCGAGCGCAGGCGGAAGAAUAAGUCUGAUGUGAAAGCCCUCGGCUUAACCGAGGAACUGCAUCGGAAACUGUUUUUCUUGAGUGCAGAAGAGGAGAGUGGAACUCCAUGUGUAGCGGUGGAAUGCGUAGAUAUAUGGAAGAACACCAGUGGCGAAGGCGGCUCUCUGGUCUGCAACUGACGCUGAGGCUCGAAAGCAUGGGUAGCGAACAGGAUUAGAUACCCUGGUAGUCCAUGCCGUAAACGAUGAGUGCUAAGUGUUGGGAGGUUUCCGCCUCUCAGUGCUGCAGCUAACGCAUUAAGCACUCCGCCUGGGGAGUACGACCGCAAGGUUGAAACUCAAAGGAAUUGACGGGGGCCCGCACAAGCGGUGGAACAUGUGGUUAAUUCGAAGCACGCGAAAACCUUACCAGGUCUUGACUCUAAUGCCUUUGUAGAGAACAAAGUCCCUUCGGGAA